UGGCAAACCUGGUCAGUUGAGCAGGAGUUCGUGAAGUAAGUCCUUAAAAUCACAUCUGUUCACCUUAUGUGACGGGAAGGAGAGGCGACUUCUGAAGCAGGGUGAUUGAAAUGGAAAUACAUUCAAAUAAAUGGACUCUGGAGCUCCACUUUGUUCUAAAUAACCUCUACUGUAAGUGAUCAGCUUAUUUGAAAGUAUGAUGGGUGGGCUAUCGGGGCAAGGCUGUAUCUGAUUUUUUUUUUUUUUUAAUCAUUAGUCUAUCUUCCCUUUUUAUUCAACCUUUUGGAAUAAGGUCUUACACUCAGGGCAGAAUAGGGGGUGGGGAGCUGAGCCUUCAAAGGACA